rnacentral:piRNA from 1 species
UGGUCCUGUGUGCAAUAUCUUUGCCUG